CCUUGAGGUCAACGUGUGAAUUUUCACCCCCACCCCUUGAGGUCAACGUGUGAAUUUUCACCCCCCCCUUGAGGUCAACGUGUGAAUUUUCACCCCCCCCCUUGAGGUCAACGUGUGAAUUUUCACCCCCACCCCUUGAGGUCAACGUGUGAAUUUUCACCCCCCGCAAAUGUAUAUAUGAACUUUAACCCCUGAGGUCAACGUAUAUAUGAACUUUAACCCCUGAGGUCAACGUAUAUGAACUGGUGACUGGGUGGAGGAACUUUCUCAGAAGAGGAAGAGACGGUGUUUAUUUGGGAGUGAAAGACUCAAGGGACUUGUUUCUGUAGACUAAAGAUGUCUGUUAUUAUACAACUGUCUGGAGUCCUUUAG